rnacentral:rRNA from 1 species
GAUGAACGCUGGCGGCGUGCCUAAUGCAUGCAAGUCGAGCGAACGGACGAGAAGCUUGCUUCUCUGAUGUUAGCGGCGGACGGGUGAGUAACACGUGGAUAACCUACCUAUAAGACUGGGAUAACUUCGGGAAACCGGAGCUAAUACCGGAUGAUAUUUUGAACCGCAUGGUUCAAAAGUGAAAGACGGUCUUGCUGUCACUUAUAGAUGGAUCCGCGCUGCAUUAGCUAGUUGGUAAGGUAACGGCUUACCAAGGCAACGAUGCAUAGCCGACCUGAGAGGGUGAUCGGCCACACUGGAACUGAGACACGGUCCAGACUCCUACGGGAGGCAGCAGUAGGGAAUCUUCCGCAAUGGGCGAGAGCCUGACGGAGCAACGCCGCGUGAGUGAUGAAGGUCUUCGGAUCGUAAAACUCUGUUAUUAGGGAAGAACAUAUGUGUAAGUAACUGUGCACAUCUUGACGGUACCUAAUCAGAAAGCCACGGCUAACUACGUG